AAACCCAAAUAAAAGAAGACAAAAUCAAAGAAGAUCAAGAUGUCUGAAUGUCCUUCAGGAAAAAACCAAUGGCCAGAGCUUGUUUUUGUGGAGUUUUCUACUGCGGCUUUGAUUAUAGAGAAGGAGAAUCCUAAUGUGAAAGCACAUGAGAUUCUAGCUGGAAGUCCGAGAAUUUUGAACUUCGAUUGUUCACGAGUUUGGGUUGAUGUCAAUAUUAAUGGCGUUGUUGUUUUAGUUCCUCGGGUUGGUUAAGGAUUGAGAUGACUAUGUACGUGUAAGUUAUAUGUAUGAAUUUAUGCAUACAUAUAAUGUAUUUGAAGGUAAUAAUAAGGUAGUAUCCUCCUACCACUUUAAUUUCAAU